rfam:Capsella rubella cultivar Monte Gargano unplaced genomic scaffold scaffold_6, whole genome shotgun sequence.
AAGCCAUGGUAGGGGCACUGAGACUUAUAACGUUUUAAUCGCUCCCAAUUUUUGCAAAGAGUUUCACCAUUCUUCUGAGUGAACCCGGAAAUCUCGUUAUCCAGACGU